rnacentral:lncRNA from 1 species
UCCCACCUGCCACAGGGCGUGGCCCAGACAGGGAGGGGGUGGUUCAGGAAUGCUCCAGGGCCAUUGCCAGAUGAUGUCCUCCUUCAUCAUCCUCCCUUCCCCGCCAGCAACUUCUCCAACUCCAGGUGGGGGUCCUGGCUCCCAGGACGCAGAGGCCCAUGGAGCGGCCCUGCCACCGCAUGGGGUGCUGCAGUCUGCGUAGGAGGUACCAAAGGGCAGAGCCUCUGUGGGAAGCCUGUGGACGCACUUCCCAAUCUGAGACUGCCCUCUGUACCCUCUUGGGGCCUCUCUGUGAGCACCCAGGGCGAGGGGAUGAGGGAGCGUCCUGGGCCGUGGUCUUCUCAUUCACCCCCAGGGAACAGCCCAUAGACUGAGGGCCUCACAGACCCUGGGCUUGGCUUUCCAGGCCCUGCCAGAGUGCAGCCUGCCUAGCCCGGGGCUGAAGGGUAGGCUCCCUGGAGGAAGGGGUGACCUGGAACUGCGAGGGCUGUGGAGUCUCCUCCAAAAUUAGAGACACGGUGUUAACUCUGGGCUCCACAGAGCUGGCCGUGGCCCGGGGCUCGGAGGCAGGGGUGCAGAGGGAGCUGGUGGGCGCCCAUCCCUUCCUCCCCGAGCAGCCGUGGACUACAUGCCAGAGUGAAGGCGAGUUCUAAUUCUGGGGGUCUCACCCGCCUCUGGCUAAACUCAGGGUAGCAGUGUGGGCUGGGGUGUGUGUGUGUGGGUGUCUUCCAGCGGCCCUGGAGCCUCUGAAGCGACAGCCCGCUCCUCAGGGAGGCGCUCCUGGCAGCCACAGCCCACAGCAGGACAGCCGCUCAGCGCGCCCUUGAGAGCUGGGCUAGGGAUGAGUCACACUUGAACCGCCUGGGCCCACUGCAGGCAGUCAGGGGUGACGCUGAGAGGUGCCGUGGUCUCGGGUGGGGUGCGGCUUCCUGCGUCUGAGAGACGCUUCCUCUCCUGCUGUCCUCUCCCUGCCAGGCCCCUUCUGCAGCGGCUGGCUUCCAGACACCCUGCGUCCCUCCCUUGCUCGCAGCAGUUGCUGUGGCGGUCCUCCCGUGCACCCCCCCUUCUGCCCUCACUGCCCCUGGGGGUCCUCAUCACGGACCCCCUAACUCGGCAUCCUGGACACCACCACCCCGCACCUUUCCACAGUGCAGCUCUGCUCGUGCCUGUGAAGCCUCCCACAGCCUGGGAAGGAAAAUCCAGACUUGCCAGACCUUGCCUCAGCCAGGCCUUGGAAGCCUGCCAGCUUACCUAACCAGUAAGACCCUCAGCCCAUGGAGUCCUGUGUGAUGUUGUGAGCGUGGGAGGACAGACUGAACUGCUCGGCCCGUGGAGUCCUGUGUGAUGUUGUGAGCGGGGAGGACAGACUGAACUGCGUGGUGCUUCGCACAUAGACCUCAACAGGGAUUGGCAUUUUGAAGCUGUUGGCGGGGGCUGUGGACUGCUUUUCUUCCUUUCUAGCUCAACGGCAGCUAAAGCCACUGCAUACAAUGCAAGGACUGGCUCCUGUUUGGCCACGACUGAUUGCAGCCCCUGGUGAAAUGAGAACCCUGUGGGUCGGAACAAAGUUUGGAUUAUUUAUGUUGCAAGUAACUAAAAUCUCAAGUGAAACUGGUUUAAACAUUAUAUUUUUAUUAUUUAUUUAUUUAUAUUUAAUUCUUUUUUAGAGACAGGGUCUUCUUAGGUUGCCCAGGCUGGUCUUGAACUCCUGGCCUCAACGAUCUUCCCACUUCAGCCUCCUGCAUUGCUGGGAUUAUAGGUGUGAGCCACCAUGCCUGGCUUACACAGUAUAAAGGGAAUGCAUUGGCCCACACAGUGGAAAAAAAUAUCUAGUAGGAAUAGGAAGGACUUCAGGUGAGGUUUGAUCCAGCAGCUCAAAUGUUGUCACCACAGGCCUGGAUUCCUCUGGCCUUUCUCAAGGUCUCUUUCAUUUUCAUGCUCCACAAGAUGGCUUCUGCCAGGCUGACCUCCCUCCCCUGACCCCAGCAGCUCUGGACACCCCUCUCAGUGCCAUUUAUAUUGUUGCAUCAAUAGGCUCAUUUCUAUAUACUGCAAGGUUCAGAGAAGACAGAGUAUCUCUCUCAAGAGUUCUAACAUAAGUCUGGGGGUCCUGGCUCUCAUAGGCUUGAACAGGGCCACAUGUCCAUUCCUGAGCCAAUAUUUGUGACCAAGGGGAUGUGGUCAAUCUCAUCCAAACCUCACUUGAAGUGAGGGUGGGAGGAGGAGUGCUCUGCAAGGAGACUGUAGGUCUGGACCACCAAAAAGGUAGAUGGGUUGGUGGGAAAAGCCAGAUGCCUACUAUGGUAGUGGGCGGGGGGAGGGCACACUGGCAAGGUACAGCAAGAGGCAGGGGCAGUGCUGGACAGGCAGGGGCUCCUCCCUAGCACGACUGGAGAAAGGACUCCUGUGAAGCGGUCACCUCCAUGAGUCCCUCCUGUCCUGGCUUCCAACCACUCUGAAGUGGGGCUUUUGUCCACAGACCUGGCCUCUGCUGCCUACCCUCUUCUGUCCCCACCUGAUGGGGCCGCUUUCCUUCUGAAGCGGCUGCAUUUUGGGUUUCUCUCCACAGGAAGAGUUGGGGCUCACAGGCACACCCUCUCCCUAACUCUUCUCCCCCGGUUCAACCUGGAUCCAGGGAUCCACACUCUGCUCCGAGAGGCCAGCACGCAGCCACUGGAAAAUGAGCCAGUGGGAGAGGGCAGCUCCAUGUUUAUUGAUCAGCAGACUAUGUCUUUUUGUUUGAAACUUCUAAAUAAGAUUACAAAAAGAAAAAAAAUAGAAGCAUUGCGUAUUAACUGCAUUGGUUAACCAACAUUGGAACCCAAUACUCUUGUAUUAGGCCCGCAUUUACCUGAGUAAACUCAGUGGUUUUCUGUCCUAAGCAUGCUUGCCUGCUACAUCCCAUGGAGAAAAUAAACAGUGAAACACUUUCCUCAUCUUCAAGGCAAUUGUCUCAGGCAUCCUCCAGGCAUCAUGAAGGAGGGUGAGCGAGGGUGCGAGGUGGAAAGGUCCAGGCCGCGGCUGUGACUCCCGCGGGUGAACCACAGCUCCACAGCCCCAAAUCCAAAGAUGCUCUUGCUGCAGCACGACAAGUGUUCAAAAGAGAACCAGGCCCAGCCCGGAGAAAGGAAAGCCAAAAGCCAACUGAAUGAAUGACCCUCCCCCAGAAGAGCAACCCUGCCCCCAGGCCAUCCAAGUGCGAACAUUACCAGGUGCCAGCAGGGAAAGGACUCCGCUGCCUGACGCCUCUCCCACCUGAGAGCGCAGAGUUCACCCUUUGGUGACCUCCACCGUGGCUGCAGACUUCAGGUGGUCCUCACGCAUUCACAGAACUGUCUGCUUAGGUUACAGCACUUUGGGAGGCCGAGGUGGGUAGAUCACGAGGUCAGGAGAUCGAGACCAUAUUGACCAACAUGGUAAAACCCCAUCUCUACUAAAAUACAAAAAUUAGCCGGGCGUGGUGGCGGGUGCCUGUAGUCCCAGCUACUUGGGAGGCUGAGGCAGGGGAAUCACUUGAACCUGGGAGGCGGAGGUUGCAGUGAACUGAGAUUGCGCCACUGCACUCCAGCCUGGG